rnacentral:rRNA from 1 species
GACGAACGCUGGCGGCGUGCCUAAUGCAUGCAAGUCGAGCGGACGGAUGGGAGCUUGCUCCCAGACCGUCAGCGGCGGACGGGUGAGUAACACGUGGGCAACCUGCCUGUAAGACUGGGAUAACUCCGGGAAACCGGGGCUAAUACCGGAUAACUCUUUCCCUCACAUGAGGGAAAGCUGAAAGAUGGCAUCUCGCUAUCACUUACAGAUGGGCCCGCGGCGCAUUAGCUAGUUGGUGAGGUAACGGCUCACCAAGGCGACGAUGCGUAGCCGACCUGAGAGGGUGAUCGGCCACACUGGGACUGAGACACGGCCCAGACUCCUACGGGAGGCAGCAGUAGGGAAUCUUCCGCAAUGGACGAAAGUCUGACGGAGCAACGCCGCGUGAGUGAUGAAGGUUUUCGGAUCGUAAAACUCUGUUGUCAGGGAAGAACAAGUACCGGAGUAACUGCCGGUACCUUGACGGUACCUGACCAGAAAGCCACGGCUAACUACGUG